CCCUUAGAUGUCCUGGGCCGCACGCGCGCUACACUGACAUGUUCAACAAGUUUCUCCUAGUUCGACAGGACUGGGAAAUCUUUGAACGCAUGUCGUGAUAGGGAUAGAUCAUUGCAAUUAUUGAUCUUGAACGAGGAAUUCCUAGUAAACGCGAGUCAUCAGCUCGCAUUGAUUACGUCCCUGCCCUUUGUACACACCGCCCGUCGCACCUACCGAUUGAAUGUUUCGGUGAAGAUUCCGGAUAGGACUGAUUUGACUUAUUUCAUUUCUUACCUAAAAGCUAUCUAAACCUCAACAUUUAGAGGAAGGUGAAGUCGUAACA
rnacentral:rRNA from 1 species